rnacentral:rRNA from 1 species
UGGGGAAUUUUCCGCAAUGGGCGAAAGCCUGACGGAGCAAUGCCGCGUGGAGGUGGAAGGCCUACGGGUCGCAACUUCUUUUCUCGGAGAAGAAACAAUGACGGUAUCUGAGGAAUAAGCAUCGGCUAACUCUGUGCCA